CAAAGUUGACAAAUUUAUUUCUACCAAUUUAUUAAUCAGCCCACUAUUUAAGUUUGGGAUUAAAAUGAGAAAGGGGGUAAAUAAUAAUAUUUGCCCAGUUAAAUUCCUAUCGGGUGAAAUAGCAAGAGGCCCAAUCAAAGUUUAUAAAUCUCCAAAUGAGAGUAAUUGUGGCAGCCCAAUAAUUAUCUAUGCAAAGUACAAAGAAGGUCCAAGGAAAAUAAACUCAUAGGCCCAAUUCUAUUUGAACAAUUUCAGCUUUUAAAUCCAAUUUGAGGCCCAAGUGGAUAAUGGAUUCAAAUCGGAGCAGCCCAAUUAUAUUUUAGAUGUAGAAGUGGGAAUAAAUUGUAAUGACCCAAAUGCAAGUACAAAAAGGAUCCAAGGAAAAUAAAUUCAUAGGCCAAACUUUUUAAAUCUCAUUAGAUGCCCAAGUUGCUUAUGGAGUGGACUAACCUGUCUCAGCCCAAAGGCACCAAGGAAGAGCACGUGAACCAGUCAAUUUGAAGAAAAAAUCCAGCUUCGUUAACGGUGAUUGUGUAGAUUGAUUGUGAUCAAAUUAAUUUGUCUCCAUCAAAUUAAUGUUUAGCAUCAAAUUAAUAUGUAUCAGCAUCUGCCCAAAUAGNUUUAUAAAUCUUCAUAUAAAUCUUCAAAUGGGAGUAAUUGUGGCAGCCCAAUAAUUAUCUAUGCAAAGUACAAAGAAGGUCCAAGGAAAAUAAACUCAUAGGCCCAAUUCUAUUUGAACAAUUUCAGCUUUUAAAUCCAAUUUGAGGCCCAAGUGGAUAAUGGAUUCAAAUCGGAGUAGCCCAAUUAUAUUUUAGAUGUAGAAGUGGGAAUAAAUUGUAAUGACCCAAAUGCAAGUACAAAAAGGAUCCAAGGAAAAUAAAUUCAUAGGCCAAACUUUUUAAAUCUCAUUAGAUGCCCAAGUUGCUUAUGGAGUGGACUAAUCUGUCUCAGCCCAAAGGCACCAAGGAAGAGCACGUGAACCAGUCAAUUUGAAGAAAAAAUCCAGCUGUAGAGAGAGGAUAAAUUGAUUGCAGAAAGACCACGACAAAUGCUACCAAUAUUCUGGCUUGGAAAUCACAUUACUUGUUUGUCUCCAUCAAAUUAAUGUAGAUACAAUGGGCAGAAGGCAGAACCUGGACCAUGGACCGAUGGUUACCUUCGUUAACAGUGAUUGUGUAGAUUGAUUGUGAUCAAAUUAAUUUAUCUCCAUCAAAUUAAUGUUUGGCGUCAAGUUUAUAUGUAUCAGCAUCCGCCCAAAUAGGCUGGGCGGCCCAUCCUUGUUCACCACCCUUGAUUUUCUCUGGUAGAGCAUAGUUAACGGUGAGUACACGGUCGUAAAGCUCCUCCCCAUCCAUAUUGUCCAUGGCGGCGGCGGCUGCGUCCUCUUUCUCUCUAGGAAAGUGGCGAACCUAAACGAGUGGUGCUUCUGUGUGGCCUGAUCCAGUGGUGUCUUCACAUCCUUAAUAUCCAAAGGGUAAGAAUGCUACAUGAAGGAUGGAUUUGUUCACUUCCUCCAAAGGGUGUUUUCUCAUCCUUAAUUUUCUCUUUGAUAGUAGCUUUGACGGCGGUGACCGAACACGGCUUUCCCUUUUUUCUCCUGUUUCUGCCUCAGAGGUUAUUUUAUAUACAUGAUUUGCGAUGGACCUAGAGCUUCCGAUCGUAACUGGAGGUAGAAGAAUGGCGGGGUUGUUUAAAAGAUAUUGUGGCUAGAGGUAGAGUUUAACUGCUACCGGGUUAAUCCGAGUGAUAGGAAGUCAUAUUUCUCUAUUUGAUUUGGGGCUAUUUCCUUAUUUCACCUCCAAUCUGAAAACCAAGCCGAAUAAUGAACCUUCUUGACCUUAUCAACUCUCUUUCCCAGAUCUACCUUUUUCCCCUUGUUCUUUAUGUGGAUCUACAUCGUGGAGUUAAAAGUAAUCCAUCCCCAUCCAUAUUUUCCAACGCCCGUCUCCAACUUUCUCAGAAUCUUAGAUAGACUUUUUCCAUGUGUUUCCUUCGUGGUUAACCGUAACUUGG
rnacentral:lncRNA from 1 species